rnacentral:rRNA from 1 species
UACGAAGGGUGCAAACGUUGCUCGGAAUUAUUGGGCGUAAAGCGCGCGUAGGCGGCUUGGCAAGUCGGAUGUGAAAUCCCUCGGCUCAACCAAGGAAGUGCAUCCGAAACUGCUGAGCUUGAGUACUUAAGAGGAUCGCGGAAUUCCCGGUGUAGAGGUGAAAUGCGUAGAGAUCGGAAGGAACACCAGUGGCGAAGGCGGCUACCUGGACAAAUACUGACGCUGAGGCGCGAAAGUGUGGGGAGCGAACAGG